AGGGCAGGGGGGUAUCCGCGGUCCCACGGCGGUUCCUGUCCUUCGAACGGCCGCGCAGCCCGCGCGGUCGCUGGUUGUCGCUCGGGGGUGAUCGCCG
rnacentral:sRNA from 1 species